CCUGCCCCCUUGACUUCCCAACCCACUCAGGGUAAUGGAUAGCCUCUGACCUGGUGACCCCUCCCCAGGCAUGGGGAGCCAGGAGGGUGAAGAGCAACUGACCAGUUCAUAACAGUCAAGCCUAGUGGUCAGUCUGACUUCCAGAGCCAAGGGUCGAGACGGAGUUGGAAUCAGGAGUCAGAGACAAGGGUCGGAGCUGGAUAACCAGAAGUCAGGGAAAGCAGGAGCAGAGCUGGUACAGAGGUAUGUGCUGAAGAUGGAAGAUGAAUCUGUUGUGGAGGGCAGGAGUGUGUCGUUGACAGAAUUGUGGGCAAAUUGAAGGUGGCAAGGAAUGCUGAAAACAUUUCCUUUAGCUUCUUAACUUCUGCUUUGAAGUACUGUAGUGAGGCAGAGUGGCCUCCCUCUGAGCCUGAUGG